AACGAGAUAGAGUAAUGGUUAACUUUUAGGCUCAUGACCUAAAGAUGUAGGUUCGAAUCCUACUCUCGUUA